CAUUUCCCUCCAACCACCCAUGGGGCAAGACUCCCACUGUGUGGGCAGGAGAUUCUCAGUUGUACAGGAUGGUUUCACAACUGUCACCUCUGCCCCAGAACUCACAACAAGAAAACUGCCAGUGGAGGUGAGACCAACAUGGCACUUGAGUUUUGUCAACUGGAAUCAGUAUCCUUUUAGAAGUCUCCAAGACAAAGCUUGGAAGUUCCCAGGAUUAAGGAGUAUGGCUAUGCACGCUCAUGCACACUAUGGCUUGAGUUUGGAUGUACAGAACAAAAUUGGCAGGAAUCAGUUCUCUUCGCCUGUGGGGACAGGGAAGCAAAGGUCUCCAGACUUGGCAGUAAGUGUCUUUAUGUGCUUAGCUUCUCCCUGGCAAAGAAAUCUUUAUUUCUUCAUCUGGGUUUCAUGAAGAACUGUUCUGUGAGAAGCCUUCACUGAACUACUGACUACUGACUUGUGCUGAAGGACCCUUCCAGAUCUCAUAUGCCCUGCUGCUGCUGUGCCUGUCUAGUUCUGCAUUAUCAGCUGGACCCCUCUCCAUGAGUAGCCUUGCACGACUACUCAUGCUGACAUGAUCUGUGGCUGCAGCAGUGGCUGGAGCACUGUCUCUUUCAAGAGCUGGUCCUUGUACCGCUAUGCAGAUGGCCGCUUACUCAUCCUGGAAAUAAUUGGAGACAAUUUCAAUGAGACACAAAGUCUACCGCCAGUCCCAGAGGCUCUGCAUGGCUUUAGAAGACAAGUUUCUAUAACAUGGUUUUGUAACAAUGGUACAAUAUGUUUUUCUAAAAUUGAGUUUUUUUUCACCAAUUCCUCAAAACAAUACAUUAAAAUGUGCUUACUCGUAGUUGA
rnacentral:lncRNA from 1 species